GCCAAAAUCGGACUCAAAUACAGAGGCUGCGCUUGAUUUCCGAUGUCUUAACUUCGAUAUUCCAUUAUAUAUCUAAAAACGAUGUUAUAAUUCUAUAUAUCCGAUGUAGGAAUAAAAUAAAAAAAAAAAAUGACGGAAUAAUUCUCGUUCAGCAUCGAGACGUGAUGAGUAUGUAUCAAGGAAAAUAGAAUUUGUUACAGACUUGUUACAAUAAAAAACAACAUUUGAUACAUGUGAUGAUACAUACAGAAUACAAAA